GACGAACGCUGGCGGCGUGCUUAACACAUGCAAGUCGUACGGUAAGGCCCUUUCGGGGGUACACGAGUGGCGAACGGGUGAGUAACACGUGAGUAACCUGCCCACAACUUUGGGAUAACGCUAGGAAACUGGUGCUAAUACUGGAUAUGUGCUCCUGCUGCAUGGUGGGGGUUGGAAAGCUCCGGCGGUUGUGGAUGGACUCGCGGCCUAUCAGCUUGUUGGUGGGGUAGUGGCCUACCAAGGCGGCGACGGGUAGCCGGCCUGAGAGGGUGACCGGCCACAUUGGGACUGAGAUACGGCCCAGACUCCUACGGGAGGCAGCAGUGGGGAAUAUUGCACAAGGGGCGCAAGCCUGAUGCAGCAACGCCGCGGGCGGGAUGACGGCCUUCGGGUUGUAAACCGCUUUCAGCAGGGACGAAGCUUUUUGUGACGGUACCUGCAGAAGAAGCACCGGCUAACUACGUG
rnacentral:rRNA from 1 species